rnacentral:tRNA from 1 species
CGCGGCGUAUCCAAGUGGUCGAAGGAAGCGGUCUCAUAGCCCGCUAAGCCGCAGGUUCGAAUCCUGCCGUCGCGU